GACGAACGCUGGCGGCGUGCCUAACACAUGCAAGUCGAGCGGAGCAGUAGCAAUACUGUUUAGCGGCGGACGGGUGAGUAACGCGUGGGCAACCUGCCUUUCACAGGGGGAUAACACAGGGAAACUUGUGCUAAUACCGCAUAACAUCAUGAGAGGACAUCCUUUUAUGAUCAAAGGAGCAAUCCGGUGGAAGAUGGGCCCGCGUCCGAUUAGCUAGUUGGUGGUGUAACGGACCACCAAGGCGACGAUCGGUAGCCGAACUGAGAGGUUGAUCGGCCACAUUGGGACUGAGCCACGGCCCAGACUCCUACGGGAGGCAGCAGUGGGGAAUAUGGCACAAUGGGGGAAACCCUGAUGCAGCAACGCCGCGUGAAGGAUGAAGGUUUUCGGAUUGUAAACUUCUUUAGUCGGGGACGAAGAAAUGACGGUACCCGAAGAAUAAGCCACGGCUAACUACGUGCCAGCAGCCGCCGUAA
rnacentral:rRNA from 1 species